CAUAGGUUAAUGAGGCGAACCGGGGGAACUGAAACAUCUAAGUACCCCGAGGAAAAGAAAUCAACCGAGAUUCCCCCAGUAGCGGCGAGCGAACGGGGAGGAGCCCAGAGCCUGAAUCAGUGUGUGUGUUAGUGGAAGCGUCUGGAAAGGCGCGCGAUACAGGGUGACAGCCCCGUACACAAAAAUGCACAUACUGUGAGCUCGAUGAGUAGGGCGGGACACGUGGUAUCCUGUCUGAAUAUGGGGGGACCAUCCUCCAAGGCUAAAUACUCCUGACUGACCGAUAGUGAACCAGUACCGUGAGGGAAAGGCGAAAAGAACCCCGGCGAGGGGAGUGAAAAAGAACCUGAAACCGUGUACGUACAAGCAGUGGGAGCCUCUUAAUGGGGUGACUGCGUACCUUUUGUAUAAUGGGUCAGCGACUUAUAUUCUGUAGCAAGGUUAACCGAAUAGGGGAGCCGAAGGGAAACCGAGUCUUAACUGGGCGUUAAGUUGCAGGGUAUAGACCCGAAACCCGGUGAUCUAGCCAUGGGCAGGUUGAAGGUUGGGUAACACUAACUGGAGGACCGAACCGACUAAUGUUGAAAAAUUAGCGGAUGACUUGUGGCUGGGGGUGAAAGGCCAAUCAAACCGGGAGAUAGCUGGUUCUCCCCGAAAGCUAUUUAGGUAGCGCCUCGUGAAUUCAUCUCCGGGGGUAGAGCACUGUUUCGGCAAGGGGGUCAUCCCGACUUACCAACCCGAUGCAAACUGCGAAUACCGGAGAAUGUUAUCACGGGAGACACACGGCGGGUGCUAACGUCCGUCGUGAAGAGGGAAACAACCCAGACCGCCAGCUAAGGUCCCAAAGUCAUGGUUAAGUGGGAAACGAUGUGGGAAGGCCCAGACAGCCAGGAUGUUGGCUUAGAAGCAGCCAUCAUUUAAAGAAAGCGUAAUAGCUCACUGGUCGAGUCGGCCUGCGCGGAAGAUGUAACGGGGCUAAACCAUGCACCGAAGCUGCGGCAGCGACGCUUAUGCGUUGUUGGGUAGGGGAGCGUUCUGUAAGCCUGUGAAGGUGGCCUGUGAGGGUUGCUGGAGGUAUCAGAAGUGCGAAUGCUGACAUAAGUAACGAUAAAGCGGGUGAAAAGCCCGCUCGCCGGAAGACCAAGGGUUCCUGUCCAACGUUAAUCGGGGCAGGGUGAGUCGACCCCUAAGGCGAGGCCGAAAGGCGUAGUCGAUGGGAAACAGGUUAAUAUUCCUGUACUUGGUGUUACUGCGAAGGGGGGACGGAGAAGGCUAUGUUGGCCGGGCGACGGUUGUCCCGGUUUAAGCGUGUAGGCUGGUUUUCCAGGCAAAUCCGGAAAAUCAAGGCUGAGGCGUGAUGACGAGGCACUACGGUGCUGAAGCGACAAAUGCCCUGCUUCCAGGAAAAGCCUCUAAGCAUCAGGUAACAUUAAAUCGUACCCCAAACCGACACAGGUGGUCAGGUAGAGAAUACCAAGGCGCUUGAGAGAACUCGGGUGAAGGAACUAGGCAAAAUGGUGCCGUAACUUCGGGAGAAGGCACGCUGAUAUGUAGGUGAAGCGACUUGCUCGUGGAGCUGAAAUCAGUCGAAGAUACCAGCUGGCUGCAACUGUUUAUUAAAAACACAGCACUGUGCAAACACGAAAGUGGACGUAUACGGUGUGACGCCUGCCCGGUGCCGGAAGGUUAAUUGAUGGGGUUAGCGGUAACGCGAAGCUCUUGAUCGAAGCCCCGGUAAACGGCGGCCGUAACUAUAACGGUCCUAAGGUAGCGAAAUUCCUUGUCGGGUAAGUUCCGACCUGCACGAAUGGCGUAAUGAUGGCCAGGCUGUCUCCACCCGAGACUCAGUGAAAUUGAACUCGCUGUGAAGAUGCAGUGUACCCGCGGCAAGACGGAAAGACCCCGUGAACCUUUACUAUAGCUUGACACUGAACAUUGAGCCUUGAUGUGUAGGAUAGGUGGGAGGCUUUGAAGUGUGGACGCCAGUCUGCAUGGAGCCGACCUUGAAAUACCACCCUUUAAUGUUUGAUGUUCUAACGUGGGCCCCUUACCGGGGUUGCGGACAGUGUCUGGUGGGUAGUUUGACUGGGGCGGUCUCCUCCUAAAGAGUAACGGAGGAGCACGAAGGUUGGCUAAUCCUGGUCGGACAUCAGGAGGUUAGUGCAAUGGCAUAAGCCAGCUUGACUGCGAGCGUGACGGCGCGAGCAGGUGCGAAAGCAGGUCAUAGUGAUCCGGUGGUUCUGAAUGGAAGGGCCAUCGCUCAACGGAUAAAAGGUACUCCGGGGAUAACAGGCUGAUACCGCCCAAGAGUUCAUAUCGACGGCGGUGUUUGGCACCUCGAUGUC
rnacentral:rRNA from 1 species